rnacentral:lncRNA from 1 species
UACAUCAUACACCAAAACAUUAGAUUUUUGGAAGCAAAUAGAAUCAUUGUGUGUCUAAUCAGGUAUUGUUAAAUUCUUAUGAAAUUUUUAAUAUUUUAUUAAACUUUACAAUUCUUGCUCAUGGAGAAGGCACGCUGGUGAUGGACUGAUGGUGAGAUUAUGCUAUAUCUUCUUCUCUUUCUUCUUCUUAUAAAUGUGAAUUCAAUAUGAAUGAUCCAAAAAUCAUAUGUAGCAAUUACACCUUGAAUUUUUGGUUCACAAAACUAGUGUUUUUACAUUUAAAAAAUGUGACUUUUUUUUUGCAUUUAUGAUCCCGCAUUUACGAUCCAAUAUUUCUUUUUCAAUAAAAUGAGCACGUGUCAAAUGACAAUUUUCGAUGUACUUGCGGAUUCCUCUCCAAGUGGCAUCCAACUUUUUUGGCAACGUUCACAUCUCGAACAAACACGAGAGUUGGCUCCUCGCCUUCCAUCUUUGAAUGGUCCCAAAAAUGGGACUUCCGUCCAGCCGUUGAGAAAAAGAAGAAAAAGGUGCACGAUGUACCACCACGUGGGACAUGACUAUUGGUCCAAUGAUUAUGACUAAAACUCUAGAUUUUUGGUGCGCUUUGCCUUUUCUCUCCCCUUUCCGUCCAAAGAUUUUUCAAAAGUUUAUUUCGUGAUGAAAAAGUUGGUUUUCUUUUGGAAUUUUGACUCUCUUUCAACAAGGAAAGGUUUUGGAUUUGCUUUUAGAGAUUUCAGCCUUGACUGCACAAUCUCUUUUUUUAUUUGCCAAAAAGAGCCUCAAGUCUGAAAAAUGUUAGCCACUGGAUUAAGGUUGUCAAUGAGAAAAUAUCAGUUUUUUUUUUUUAAUUUUAAAAAGGUUAAUAGUGGUUAGUUAAAAUUACUCAAAAUCCGCUCGGCCAAAAUCACGAGGACAAUAUAAUUAUAAUAUAAGAGUGAUUUUAUGCUUACUCGCUUUGAAUAUUUAAUUGAUAUAUUUAAUGAUGUGGCAUUUUAUAUAUCAUCCAUUAAAAUAAUUAUAUCAAUGAGAGGUUAAUAAUUAAUAAUAAAAUCAAUGAAUAUCAUGCGUAUGGCAUUAGAGGAUUGAUAACAUAUCAGUAAAUAUCCCAACUAAGUUUCCAAACUUAGAGUCCAUUUGUGACUGUUUUUGUGAAGCUCUAAAGUAAUUUUAAAAAUUUUAAACUAAUUUUGGUGUUUAGAAAAUUUUUUUAGGAAUCACUUUGGCAAAACCACCUCAGCCUACUGUAAAUUUUUUGAAAAAUUUGAAAAAAUAGAAAAUGAGUAAACUUUUUAAGAUCUAAUUUUGAGAAUUAUUUUUACAUUUAAAGCAUGUUCAAGAUUGCUUUAGAUUGACAAUAAUCACUGAUUUGACAAUCUAAUAUUCAAAAAGUGUUUUGUAAACACUUUUUAAAAUUGAUUAUUUGAAAAUAUGAUUCUUAAAUAUAUUUUUUUUGUAUUAAGCAUUAAAGUCACUGGGAGAAGCUUUGAAAAAUUAAUUUUUUUUUAGAAUCUGAUUUUGUAAAAUAUAAUACCUAAAUUAUCCUCAUCUUGAAAUCAUAUUCCAAAUAUACUCUAUACAAAAAUAAGCUAAUUUUUUAUGUUUAAAAUUUGUAGUUGAAAAAUAAAACACAGUACUAUCAUUGGUGGUAAUUUCCUCCGGUGAUGUCGUUGGCUUCCGAUGAGUUACUCUUUACUUGACGCUACUCAUAUGUUCAGAUUCGAAAUUAUUCACCCUACACAGCUACACUAUGAUGAUGGCAUCAUUGGCGGAAUGGAAUUAGAGGCGAUGCACGUGCCCCCAAUGCAUGUCAACAACUACCGUUGCCAACAAUGGAAAUCUAAUUUUUAAAUUAUUAAAUAUUUGUACCUAUCUAAUAAAAAUAUAUUCUUGUUUAUUAACAAGUUCUUAAUUGUUAAUAAAAAUAUUAACUAUUAUAAUUUUGGUAAUUACUGAAUAAUUAUUUGAAAUUUAAAUAAUUUUUUUUAACAAAACGUUGACAUUUUAGUAAUUGUAUAUGGACAACACACAUUCAGGAUCAAUUUACCAAACAUGUAUAGCAAAUUUUGAAAAGUAAUUAUUUCACAAUCUAAGUUUACCAAAUAUGUUAUGAAUUUAUUUGAAAAUUGAUUAUUAUGAAAUCUAAUUUAGAAGUGAUCAAUUAAGAAUCAAAGCAAUCCCAAACAUACCCUUAAUACAAU